rnacentral:lncRNA from 1 species
AAAAUACACGGACAUAAACCAAAAAGAAAAAGAAAACAGAAACAACAAAUAAAAGGAACACAGUAGAAGCAAAAACAAGGAGAGACAUAAGGAAAAGAAACAGACAAAGAUGGAAAAACAAGCAAAACAGAAGAGAAAAGUAGACUUGAGAGGAAAAAGGAGUAAAAAAAGUGACGAUUUGAGUUCAAGUUCGGGUUUCGUUUGAGUUUUUUUUUGGUGAAGACAUUUUUUGUUUCUAUUUUAGUUAUUCUACCACACAGGUUCUUAUCGGAUUCUUUAUUGAUAAUUUUAUUUAGUUUUUGGGGUUAAAGCAUGAAUGAAGUAAUUCCAAUGAUUUGUUAUAUUAUUUCGUAUGUAAAAUUAAUUAUUUAGUUUAUGCUUUACGUCUUUAUUUGUAAUUCGUGUAAUGUUUUUUGAAGAUAAUGUUAAUUAUAUUGACUAUGAAUUUUGAAUGCGAUGAUUCCAAAGUUAUUAGUUGUAAAGAUAUAAAUUGCGUUAAUACAAAUAAUUAGUAUGUAUUGUGCUAUAAACCACUACUUUGAUUCAUGAAUGCAAUGCAUGUAAAAAGAUUUUAAAAGAGAAGGGUUGAAAAAAUAACAUGCACAUGCAUAUGCACACACACAAAAAUGGAAGACAUAUAAAACUGGAAGAAAAAAAAUCUUAAGAAGAAAGGAAAGGAGAAAAAAAAAUAGAGACAUGAACAUGCAAACAGAUAAUGGAAAAAUUUAAAAAGAAAAAGAAAAGAUAGAGUUGAUAAAAUAAUGAAAGAGCACCACUUUAUUCAUUCUUUUUAUUUGGAUCUUUGUUUUGUUAUUGUUGUUAGUUGUCAAGAAUAAAAAGAAAACAAUUUCUAUAGUUGGUUUAAAAAUUAAAUCUUGAGGUUUAAGCUAUCAAUUUAAAUAAUAAGUUAGGUCAAUUAUAGUAAUUUAAUUUUGUUGUUUUCGUUUAUGUUUGAUCUUUUGUUCUAAUUGUAGUAUUCGAAUGUUUGGUUUCAAUUGAUUGGAUGCAUUUACAUUUAUCAUCUGAUAAGAUUUUUAAUUGUGAUCGAGUUUGAGUUGGCUUUCAGUUUGGUCAAAAUUUGGCCAUAGCAAAUCGCAUGGAUCACGAUUUUAAAUUUUAAAUCAAGACCCAUCAUAUUUGACAAUAGAAAAGAAAGGAUAAAAUUAAUAGAAAAAAUAGCAAGCAAUAAUAUAAAACGAAAAAAGAAAAGAAUUUAUUUUUGAAGUUAUAAAACAUGUUUUUGACAUUACGAAUUGUAUUAUUUUUUAUUUAUUAAAAAAUUUAAUAAUUAUUUAUUAAAUUAAUUAAUUAAUUUAGUUGAAUAUUUUUUAAGGUUAAGUAGCAUUUUUUUGAACAGGUAAAUUGUUACAUGUUUUUAUAAAAAAAAAAAAAAGAUAAAUCGAUGUUUAGCGUUAGACAAAUUUUAGAGACAUUUAAAAUAUUCGUCUCAAUUAAGAAUGCGGCAUACACAUCUUUCUAAGAUAUUUAGAAUUCAAGGAUGCAAUAAUACGCCUUGGCAAAUAUUUUUCUAAAAUUAAUUUUCAUUGAUUUAUUUAACAUAAAAUAAUAGACUAGUUUUAAAUAAAAUGAGCGAAUUUAGGUCUUAACAUAAUUGGUCAAAAUAGUUUAGUUUAAGUAUAAGUCAAUAAAAGCAACCGUGCUAGAACCACAGGACUCGAGGGGUGCCUCACUCCUUCCCCUCAGUCAACAAAAUUUCUUACCCGGUCUUCUAUUUUCGCAGACCAACAAAGAGUCAUUUUCUUUUGAUUAGAGAUUCAAAAAGGUGACUUGAAACACCAUAACUCAAUUUCAAGUGGUGACUUUGUAAAUAAAAUAAUCCCUAUUCAAAACUGUCACUUUAAUUAAAAAAAUCCUUCGACUCAAUCCUUGCAGGCGAAAAGGGGGUGUGACAAUCCUCAAUGCUACUCUCAAACUUAAACCCCCAAGAGAACCUAAGGAUUUCAUCGUACGUUCAUCUUUCCGGUCUCAAGCUUUGAAUUUCUUUUCAAUUCUCAUGUGUCUAAGUAUGUACCUCUUUUUCUACACUUUUAUUUUCUCAAUGGCAUGAAAAUUAGUUUAUUAUUCAUGGUUUUGAUAUUGGGUUUUGAACUAUGGGUUGAGGUUUCUGGAUAUAAAUUGUUUGAAUGUUUUCUCAUGAUUACUAUUGAACUAUUAUGUUUUACAUUAUUAAUUUGCACACUCAUUGGGGUGCAUGAAAAUGGUAAACAAACUAAGGGGUCAUGAUUAUCCCCAAUUUGAUGAUUUUGCCUUGAUAUAUGAUUUUAAAAAUUAUGUUCCCUCAACCCAAAUUGUGAAAUUAAUAAUGAAUAUGGUUUCAUCAUACAGUUUGAAGUUCUCACUUGAACUAUUGCAUUGGCAUAAAAGUUUAAUGAACUAUGGUGUAGUUUUAUUGAACUUUGGGGUAUGUGGAUUCCUCGUGAGGAUGUCAAUUGAACCUAAGGAGUCAUAAAUUUCUCCCGUGUAAUGGUUAAUGGAUUGUGGCAUGAUAAUGAACUUGCAAGUAGAGUUGGUAUGACGAUAACAAUGGGAUGCCUAAAUGUAUAAUCGGUUCAAUAAAUUAGGAAUAUGUGUUAAAUAUUUUAAUUGGGCUUAAAAGCGGGUAGUGUAGCCGGUCCAUGAAAGUAGAAGUCCCGAUGGACAAACAGCAAAAACCGCGUUAAUCGGCGUGGGGGUCUAAAUGACUGGGAGGUUCGAGUUUCCCUUAUUAUUAUUAUAUGAUUGGGAGGUUCAAGUCCCCCUUGUUAUAUAAAUUGGUGCUUUAUCCACAUUUGAUUUACACCGGGAGGUUCGAGUCCCUCAUCAGGCAUAUGAUAUAGGAUUAUCCUCUGGUUCGUGCGGCUACAUGUACUAGGGUCCUUCCAGCUGGGGAAGAGCUGGGCCCAUAUAACCCAUGGGUCCCUUGAUUAUGACAGUUAUACUAUACAAUCCAGGUUAAGGUUUUUAACAUUCAUGCUAAACCCUGUUUCCUUUCCCAGCAUAAUAUAUAUAUAUAUAUAUAUAUAUAUAUAUGUUGCAUAUGUCAUUGUGCAUUAGUUUUAAUGAUUUUUGUAUUAUGGUUCGUGACAUUAUUUUAUCCUUUAUGCUUGAGUUACAUGCUAGCGCUCCAACCGCUAACCGUCUUCGAACGUCGUAUCCCUACGUAAUGCAGACACCAGAAAUUUUUCUACCUUUCUUGCACAAUGAUUAGGUGCCUUGGAUAGCUGAUGAGUUGACUUGAAGUGGUAAGUUUCCAUCUUCCAAAGGACUUUAUUUUAUAUUUUCAUUUCCUAUGUCUUAGACUUUGUUUCAAACUUGUUUUUGGUUAUGGUCGGGGGCUUGUCCCAUCACAUUAUUGGUAUUUGGUUUUGUUAGAGGCUUUAUGGAUAACUUUGGACUUGGGUGUUGGUUAUUGGUAUUGGUGACGGUUUAUGGACAUAUUACCUAUGUCUUGAGUUUACCCUUAUUACCAUGUUAUAUAUCUGGGAUUCGGUCUCUGACAGCGUGUAUUCUUGUUUAACUAGGCAAAAGGGGUGGUCUCCGGUCCUCGAAGGACUUGAGAUACCCAUCACAGCUAGGCCCUGGUUCAGGUGGUGACAGUCAGACCUAGGUCGGGUCUAGGAGCUGAGGGGUUGGGGGUCCAAGUCAGGAGUCGAGAAUCGCGGUCGACCUGGAUCGGAUGUUGGGGUUGGGUUCCGAAUACGAAGUUAGGGUAGAUUCUCGUGUCCAGAUUGGGUCCUGGAUGAGGAGUGGGGGUCUGGUCCUUGAAUGGUUGUCGGGGUCAGGUCUUGCAUCACGUGUGAGGAAUCGAGGUUUAAGGUUGGGAUUGAAUUUGGUGCCAUUAGUAUUUGCUUAGAUUAUUACCUAUAUAAUGUUGGGAUAAUAUCUUCUUUUGACCAAUCAAACACCAAAAAAUAAGUAAUAAAAUCACUUAUUUUCACAGAAAAUAUUUCUAGGAAAACAUUUUCUUUCAUACCAACCCCCUCAACUUCCCUCUUAAUACAUUAUAUAACACACAAAAUACUAAGAGAAGAGGAGGAUACACAAAAACACAUGGACAUAAACCAAAAAGAAAAAGGAAACAGAAACAACAAAAAAAAAUGGAACACAACAGAAGCAAAAAUAAAGAGAGACAGAAGAAAAAGAAACAGACAAAGAUGGAAAAACAAGCAAAACAGAAGAGAAAAGUAGACUUGAGAGGAAAAAGGAGUAAAAAAAGUGACGAUUUGAGUUCAAGUUCGGGUUUCGUUUGAGUUUUUUUUUGGUGAAGACAUUUUUUGUUUCUAUUUUAGUUAUUCUACCACACAGGUUCUUAUCGGAUUCUUUAUUGAUAAUUUUAUUUAGUUUUUGGGGUUAAAGCAUGAAUGAAGUAAUUCCAAUGAUUUGUUAUAUUAUUUCGUAUGUAAAAUUAAUUAUUUAGUUUAUGCUUUACGUCUUUAUUUGUAAUUCGUGUAAUGUUUUUUGAAGAUAAUGUUAAUUAUAUUGACU